rnacentral:tRNA from 1 species
UGCACAGUGGCCAAGUGGUAAGGCAUUGGCCUCAUAAACCAAAGAUCAUGAGUUCCAUCCCCAUCUGUGCCU